CCUACGGGUGGCAGCAGUGAGGAAUAUUGGUCAAUGGGCUUACGCCUGAACCAGCCAAGUCGCGUGAGGGAAGACUGCCCUAUGGGUUGUAAACCUCUUUUGUCAGGGAGCAACGCCGGCUACGUGUAGCCGGACUGAGAGUACCUGAAGAAAAAGCAUCGGCUAACUCCGUGCCAGCAGCCGCGGUAAUACGGAGGAUGCGAGCGUUAUCCGGAUUUAUUGGGUUUAAAGGGUGCGUAGGCGGAAUGCCAAGUCAGCGGUAAAAUCGCGGGGCUCAACCCCGCUCCGCCGUUGAUACUGGCGAACUUGAGUGAGAGAGAGGUAUGCGGAAUGCGUGGUGAAGCGGUGAAAUGCGUAGAUAUAAGGAAGAACUCCGAUUGCGAAGGCAGCUUACCGGGGCCAAACUGACGCUGAGGCACGAAAGCGUGGGUAGCAAACAGGAUUAGAUACCCGGGUAGUC
rnacentral:rRNA from 1 species